CUCAGAGGGGAGCCUGCUGCUCCCUCUGCUUGUGCUCGCUCUCUAACAAAUGUAUAAAUAAAUAAAAUCUCUUUUUAAAAAUUGCCUUUCAGUAAGAUUCUAGUGCUGUUGUCUUUGAGGUUUAUUUUCUACCUGUAACUAGACUAGAUUCUGCAUUCUUCUGGUUUGUUCCAGUAUCUGGCUAGAACUCCAAAAACGAACACAUCCAGUUUUCUCCCACUCUUUUGACUUAGAAAUACUAUAAAACUAAAACUGCCGUUUUCCCCCAGAGCCAUGCAAACUUAAAGCUGCACAGUUUGAUACAAACUUCAGAGAAAUCCUCACCACAGCUCAGCUGUCUCACUCACGGCCACACUGCAAACCAGGAAAACCUGUCCGACUCUCACUGCUUGCCCCCACUCCAUCUGAACCCAACACUAGAAAUUUUCUCAACUGACAGCUCUGCAGUUUGCUGGAACUAUUUAUCUUUUGUUUCCACUGAAAUGCAUCUUGUUAAACUACUUGUUUGCUCACAUUAUACAGAGACCUAAUUUAGGUGAAAGCUCAGCUGAAUCAGGGCAGGACGGAUAUGAGGGUGUUUCAAGAAAUUGUGAGGCCAUGGAUGCUAAUACAUCAUGUUGUGCCUGUGUAUGGAUUUCAGUGCCUGGCACAGCCGCCGACAGACCAUGACCAGACAACGGGAUGAACGCAGCGGUAACCACAGGUACAGUGAAGAUGGGGACUGCACGGCCCUCCAGUCUGACAACUCAACUGGAUGAAAACUCUGAACACAUGAUUCUGUGGCGUGACUCGAACGGUGGUAACUGAGAACAACACUGUACUGGUUAAUAGUACUCUCAGCCUGCCAAGGAAGUGACCAAAAGGGGGCAGUUAUUAAAAACAAAUGGAGAACAACCUUAAAAAUUCCUUGGGCCGACAAAACCAGUUUAGUCAUACGCACUGAACUUACUUAGCAAGAUUAACUUGACCUGGGUCAUUUCUUGCUUAUGAUUCUAAAAUUCAUAAGCAAAACUUGAAAUGUUUCCCUAAGUUGGUAAGAGGUGACCACUGACCACUUCCCUGUUAAUCACUGGGAAGAAUAAACAGUCAUGCUUUCCCACUACAAAGCUCUUUGAUAAUACACCCUUGAGCCUCAUUCCGUGGUUUGAAUGCUCCCAGUAUAUGCACAAUAAACUUUUACUAAUUACUACUUUGGUGAUUGGUAUUACUUCUGUUAUGUAUGCUGCUGCCGUCAGAAGUUCAGAAAUAGCCAAAAGGUAACCAGUUGGUGACUGGAUAAACAAUGUGAUGUAUACAGAAGAGGAUAUAUACUAGUCAGCAAUAAAAAUGCUAGAGUAUAGAUUGGUUUUUGAGGUGAACCUCAAAACAUUUAUACUAAGAAGCCAGAUGCAAAACUAGAAUACGAUUUCACCUAUACCCAGAAAAGGCAAAUUUAUAGAAGGAAACCACAUCGUAUCACUGGCUGCCUGGGGAGAAGUGGAGAUGGAUUGCAGGAAGGGUCAUAAAAAUGUGGGGGCAGGGAUUGAUGAAAAUGUUUAAAUCCGGAUUAUGGUAAUAUUGGCACAACUCUAAACUUGGUAAAGGAUGGAUUGUAAACAUAGUAAAUGAAUUUAUAUAAAUUAUACCUCAAUAAAGCUGGAUCCAAAACACACUGAUUUAAUACUGCAUUAGAAUAGGUACUGAGAAAUGAAGCAAGUAGAAGGAAAAAUGAGAGCACUGUUAGAAUAUAGUACAAAUCGCCCUGUAUCAUUUCAGUCCUGGGCUCUGGUUUCCAGACAGGAAAAAAGAACAUUGUUUGCAAAUGAAUGGGGCAGGGGCAGGGGAAUCAGGUAAAAAAUUUAUUACUUUAGGCCAGAGGCCAAAACGGAAACAUUAAAAAAAAAAAAA